GAGGGUAUAGCUCAGUGGUAGAGCUCAUGCUUAGCAUGCAUGAGGUCCUGGGUUCAAUCCCCAGUACCUCCA
rnacentral:tRNA from 1 species